rnacentral:snRNA from 1 species
GGAUGUGAGGGCAAUCUGGCUGCAACAUCCAUUGCUCCAUUGAUUGCCAGGGUUGAUUUAGCUGAUCUGGCUGGGCUAGGCGGGUGUCUCCUUCCUCCCUCACCCCUCCAUGUGCAUCCCUCCCAAAGCUGCACACUGGGUCAAAGAGGACUAUCAUCCUUGUUAGAGGGGUUCUGGUCUUUGGUCAGGGGUGUACGAGUAGUUGUGCUCCUCUGCUAGAACUGCCAAACAAGCUCUCAAGGUCCAUUUAGUAAAAAUGCAUGCAGUAUAUUGGAAAUGGAAGAAAACUAUUACUUUAAUUAGAGUAUCUACAAACAAAAGAAUAUAUAGCAGUCAUACACUUAAU